GUACUUUGAAGAGAGAGUUCAAGAGGACGUGAAACCGGUAGGAUGGAAACGGAUAGAGCCAACGAACAAGCCCGUAUUCAGCUAGUCGGCUACGUGCGGCAUGCCUGUGUGCCUGUGUAUGGCGCAUUGGUGUGUGCGGUAUGUGGAAUGGCUAGUGCAUUUGCGGGUGAUGUGCGCUGAGGCGUGUGGUGGAGUCUUGCAAACCGUCCGGCAGAGGACAUGCCUUUUACGGGGUAUGAAACCUACAGACGGCUAGUAGGGUCUCGUUAGCUGCACGUAGCUUAAGCGGCUAGGUGAAAAUUCGCGCUGCCAUACUGUUGGGGCUAGCUUGUUGGUCGAUCGCAUGCGAUUGGAUCUUCUUGGCUGGUCUUGACUUGCUGUAGUGCCCUAGCCGAUCCUCGGUGUAAAAGUUGGUCAUCUCUCCGACCCGUCUUGAAACACGGACCAAGGAGUCUAGCGUAUGCGCGAGUCAUUGGAUGGUGAAACUCAUAGGCGUAAUGAAAGUGAAGGUCUCUUUGACGGAGGCUAAUAUGCGACCCGUUGCACUUGAUUGUGUACGCGGGGCAGCAUAGCCCCGUCUCGACUGCUUGCAGUGGGGCGGAGGUAGAGCGUAUACGCUGGUACCCGAAAGAUGGUGAACUAUGCCUGAGCAGGAUGAAGCCAGAGGAAACUCUGGUGGAGGUCCGAAGCGCUUCUGACGUGCAAAUCGAUCGUCUAACUUGGGUAGGGCGAAAA
rnacentral:rRNA from 1 species